rnacentral:rRNA from 1 species
AUGGAUCUCUUCCGCCAUCUUUGGAUUCUCCUUCACUUGUUCCAGGGUAGCAUGCCCCCCAUGUGCCUUUCUGAGGAUGGUUUUGGACUAGGAGAGUUGUUCCGUAGCUUCAUGGCAUCUCAGUCUGGUUCCAGCUCCAGUGGUGACCUCAGUCUUCUCAACAGAUGGUCUCUGAAAUGUUUCACUGCCCCCUCCUGCAGCUCCUUGUGUGGUUUCACCCAGUCUCCUAGAUAUGUACUUAUUUCCUGCCAGACCUGUUUGACAGAGAUCCAUUUAGACCUAUUAAACACAAUGGAAUUUCUAGUAUUCCACAAUCCCCAAAGGAUCGCAGAAGAGACCACAUUCAAAUGA